rnacentral:rRNA from 1 species
CAAGCGGCGGAGCAUGCGGAUUAAUUCGAUGCAACGCGAAGAACCUUACCAAGGCUUGACAUGAACCGGUAAUACCUGGAGACAGGUGCCCCGCUUGCGGUCGGUUUACAGGUGGUGCAUGGUUGUCGUCAGCUCGUGUCGUGAGAUGUUGGGUUAAGUCCCGCAACGAGCGCAACCCUCGUUCUAUGUUGCCAGCACGUGAUGGUGGGGACUCAUAGGAGACUGCCGGGGUCAACUCGGAGGAAGGUGGGGACGACGUCAAAUCAUCAUGCCCCUUAUGUCUUGGGCUUCACGCAUGCUACAAUGGCCGGUACAAAGGGUUGCGAUACUGUGAGGUGGAGCUAAUCCCAAAAAGCCGGUCUCAGUUCGGAUUGGGGUCUGCAACUCGACCCCAUGAAGUCGGAGUCGCUAGUAAUCGCAGAUCAGCAACGCUGCGGUGAAUACGUUCCCGGGCCUUGUACACACCGCCCGUCAAGUCACGAAAGUUGGUAACACCCGAAGCCGGUGGCCUAACCCCUUGUGGGAGGGAGCUGUCGAAGGUGGGACUGGCGAUUGGGACU